rnacentral:lncRNA from 1 species
CCCGAGUGCCUCCCAUAGCCAGCGCUUGACAAAUGGGCAAGAUUCAGUCCAAGCCUAUGGGCUCAGCCCUUUGUUUCCCAGAGCCUCAGCCUCCAUGCCUAUUCACCCACACACUACCAGCCCCUCCACCCAGGAACAGCAUCAGCAACCACGCAGAGAGGAGCCCAUUGCUGCUGAAGGUGAGAGGCUGUCCUCUGCCUGCUUUCAGGACUCCUGGUUCUCAGGCUGCUAGACCUGAACUGGAAUCUACAGCCACUGGCUCUCUGGCUUUCAGGUCUUCAAACUACAUCACCAGCUUUCCUGGGCCUGAACCUUGCCAAUGACAGAUUGUGGGACUUCUCAGCCUCCAUAAACAUACAGGGUCUCACUGCUGUCCAGGCUGGAGUGCAGUGGCACCAUGAUAGCUCACUACAACCUCAAAGUGAUCCUCCCACCUCAGCCUCCCAAGUAGCUGGGACUAUAGGUAGAGGCUACCAUGCCUGGCUAAUUUUUAAAUUUUUAUAGAGACAGAGUCUCAUUAUGUUGCCCAGGCUGCCCUUCAACUCCUGGUCUUGAGUGGUCCUCCUGCUUUGGCCUCCCAAAGUGCUGGGAUUAUAGGCGUGAGCCAUCAUGCCCAGCCUUAACUGGUUUUUAAUAAUUAUAAACAUAAUCUAUACUUGUUACAAAGUCAGGAAGUAUAAUAAAAUGUUUAAUUUUCUCACCUUCUCUGACUCUAACCUCCUAAAAUAUUAACAGUUUUGGUAGGGGGACACUCUUUCAUACUAUUUUUUUUGCUCCUACAAGCAUGUUUUACACAUUACUCUGAAGACUUCUUUUUCUUCCACUGAGGCAACUUUCCAUGUCAGAAUGGGUGUAGUCAAUGACUCAAGGGGAGUUUAACAAAGUAUUGUCAAUUUAGAUUCCAAGAUAGGGCUCUGUUCCUCUAAUUAAUUACUUCCCUCUGGGUUUUAACCUUCAUGAGAGGCAUAUGAGCUACUUGUUGGAUUGGAAACUGUUCCUGAUGUCACCUUACAAGCUGUUUCUGUUUAGAACAAAUCCUGUCUCUGGAUCAUUAGAAAGUCACAUGUCACAUGUCACAAACUGUCAGCCUUUCUCUCCCAUCACUCCUUAUUACUUAAAGGUGUUGGCUGAGAUCCCAACAUCUUUAUCUCUCAGGGGUUGGAAGCCUGGGCAGCUUCUGUUUUUCUCUCUCUCUCCUUUCUUUCUCAUAUCUAUCCACCAUCGUCAUUGUCUUUAAGGAAGGUGUUGCUCGUGAAUCUCAGAAUUACCUGCCUUAGGAAAACCAUUUAGAGACCUUAAUUCCAGUACUGAUGACAUCAAUACCACCGGAAUCAAUGGAAAAAUAAAAACAAAAACAGCUCUAUCUGUAUCUGACUCUGAGCAGAGUGUGGCCUUAGCCAUGGAAGUUGAGGUGUUGAGUUCAAAGGAUCAUCAAAGAGCAUUGUCCUAGGCCCGGUGCAGUGGCUUAUGCCUGUAAUCCUAGAACUUUGGAAGGCCUAGGUGGGCAGAUCACUUGAGGCCAGGAGUUCCAGACCAGUCUGGCCAACAUGGUAAGACCCCAUCUCUACUAAAAAUAGCAAUUCUAUUGCUGGAUAAUCAGUUUCAAAGGUGUAUUAGUCCUUUCUCACACCGCUAAUAAAGACAUCCCCGAGACUGAGUAAUUUAUAAAGAAACAGAAGUUUAAUGGACUUACAGUUCCACAUGGCUGAGGAGACCUCACAAUCAUAGUAGAAAGUGAAGGAGUAGCAAAGGCACAUCUUAUGUGGUGGUAGGUAAGAGAGCUUGUGCAGGGGAACUCCCAUUUAUAAAACCAUCAGCUCUCAUGAAACUGAUUCACUAUCCCAAGAACAGCAUGGGAAAAACCUGUCCCCCAUGAUGCAAUUACCUCCCACUGAGUCCCUCCCACAACAUGUGGGGAUUAUGGGAGCUACAAUUCAAGAUGAGAUUUGGGUGGGGACAUAGCCAAACCAUACCAAAAGGCAAUAAAAAAAAAAGUAUUUUCUACGAUAAAACUGUGAUGACAUUAUUUGUCUGAUUAUUUUCAAGGAAUGGCAGCAUCUUUGAGGAUCUUGGAGUCAGAGAAAUUCAGACACCAAAAAGUCGAAGAGACUUAAGAGAUCCUUUCUACCUUUUUGUCUGACUCUUAAUUCUCCUAUUUCAUCUCCUUGAAAUGUGUCAUUGAUCAUCUGUUUGGAACCCACUAACAAUGGAGAGCUUAAUUCAACAUGACAGAGGGGAGGAACCAGACACAUAAAUAGGCCAUUUUAAUAAAAUGUGAUUAAUGCUAUAAGAGAACUGUGGAGUGGCAACUAUGGGAGUGGUCAUGAGGAGUGGCCUGGCCUGGAAGUCUACGGAAUGAAAUAAGGCUUCCAAGGGAAAAUGACAUUGUGCUGGCUCUUGAAAGGAAGAAGGGAGUUUGGCAGAUAAGGGGAAUAGUGAGGGAGUGAGUGGGGAUCAUUCAGAAGUGGGCAAAAAUAUCAAAUAUUUAGCAGUUAUGUGAAUCAUGUGACAGGUGUCUCAGUGUAGCUGGAGCAUGGGCCAUGGAUGCAGGGAUAUUGACAGAUAAAGCACAGCCCAAACUGGAAACUACCCCAUGCUGAGGAGUUUGGAUUUUAUCCUGAAGUUGAAAGGGAGUCAUUUAAGGGUUUUAAGGGAUUGACAGGAUCAAAUCUGCAUUUAAAAUGAACUGGAAUAAGAAUGGAAUCUGGGAGACCCCGAGGAAGCUAGUGCAAGGCCUGACAAAGAGGGAUCAAGGAAGAAGGAGAGACAGCAGUAAAAGUUAAAGAUUUUAUGAGAAUGUGGGUGUGGUAUGGAUAGAGAGUGGGAGAAGUAGAGGGUGAUGCCCAGGUUUCUAGCUUGGGUACUUUGGUACCUGAAAAAUUAUGCGGGGGGAAGCAGAGCAAGUUCUAUGCCAUCACUGGCAAACUCCAGGUGUAAAGUGAGUCUUCUUGUAUUGAUCUGAAAAUGACUACAACCCUUUAACCUUCUCAGGGAUGGUCUUAGUCUCUCCUCCAUAAUUAUAAAUAGCAAUGAACAUUAUUUUGUGAAUGUACUAAGUUGCAAAUAAAUAUUCUACUGGCAGACUGAGCCAGAUUUUAUCAUGUUUCUCUCUCUCUCUCUUUCACUCUCUCUCUCUCUCCACAUAUAAUUAUAUAUAUAACGUAUAUUAUGUGUAUAUACAAUUAUAUAAAAAUAUAUAUAUAAUUCUUGUUUUUCUAGGAGCUCAAAGGCUAUAUAUAUAUAUAUAUAUAUAUAUAUAUAGAGAGAGAGAGAGAGAGAGAGAGAGAGCUCUUAGAAAAACAAGAGUUACAAAACUCCAAAGGUUCACUCCCAUUAUUAUAUCUAAUGUCUGAAAACAAGCUUGCCUUAUGAAAUUUUAAGGCCAGGUGUGAUGGCUCAUGCCUGUAAUCCCAGCACUUUAGGAGGCCGAGGCAGGCGGAUAGCUUGAGUCCAGGAGUUCAAGACCAGCCUGGGCAACGUGGCAAGAUGCCGUCUCAACAAAAAAUACAAAAAUUAGCCAGGAGUGGUGGUGUGUGCCUGUUGUCUCAGCUACUUGGGCGGCUGAGGUGGAAGAAUCAAUUGAGCCCUGGAGGUUGAGGUUGCAGUGAGCCGUGACUGUGCUACUGCACUUCAGCCUGGGUGACAGAGCGAGACAGAGAUUUUUUAAAAAAUAGGUAAAUAAACGUUCAGCAAAUGCAAACACUGGGAAGCAAUGGAUAAAUUGUGAAAAAAGUAAUGGUGCCCCAUCCUUCCUCUCCUCCCACUGGCCUCUUCAUUGCUUGUGUUGCCUGUCUUACCAUUUAUUCCACCGUAAUGACUAGGAGGCUAACCACAGCUCUGUUCCUGAUACAAUACUCCUCGUUUUGCAAAAGCCAUUGGGAAUAAGGAAUCAAAUAUAGAAUUUGCUGAAGGGCACAAAUAUCAGCAGUAUUCAACUAUCCAAAUCCAACCUAAUGACAUUCAGCUAAAUCUGGGAAGUCAAAGAUGCUAUUCACCCUCUGUGACAACUGUUACUGCUUUUUCCUUUUCCCAUCCAAACUUUUUUCAAAGAAAGGAUAUCUUUUGACUAGGCCAGUUACUAAACUUCACUGAAGAAGAGACGUGAAGAAUGAAGUGAUUUCAUGUAAAAGCACAGUUUGUGGAGGUUAUGCCAAUUCCUGCUCGGGCCAACAUGUUUCUUGCUUCAGAAGUCAGCGAAACUCAAACUGCACAGCCUUUUCUUCCUUCCCGGCAUAUCUUUACUCAUAUGGCAAAGUUGCAACCAUGUCUUAUUUUAAUAGGAGUAAAUGUAGAUAUAUCUCAUUCUUAUAUUGAGCCAGUAUUGCUUUUUAAAUAUACGGGGAAACAUUGUUUUUAAUAUAGUCCUAUUAAGUUAAAAAAUGCAGUAAAACAUCACCUGAAGAUGUAGAUGUAAAGCUGGUUGAGUAACGGUAUUUUCAUUUCACUCCCCACCCUCGAAAUUCACUAAACCAUUGGAAUUAAUUUUUAGGAAGUGAAAGAAUAACAUGAAGAGAAAUCCCUCUCUGAAGAAAAAAGAAAACUUCACAAACCCAUCCUACAACCUAUAAAACAGCCACUUAAUAACGUUAAGUUUGGGCUAAGAUGAUAGGCCACAGGAAAGCCGAAGGCAGAAAGAAGGCAGAAAAUGGACAGAUUGCAACAUGGAAUGUCUGUGAAUUAAAGCAGAGAAUUAUCUCUCAUUUGCUUUUAGAUGGCCAAGUUUUUUAUGGAUUUAUAAACAUUGCUAUGCAAAAGAUCUUAACCCUUUGUCUUUCACACAGGUUGAAUAUUUUCUUCUGAAUUUUAUAUCUUAA